GCUGUUCCUCCUACUUUGAAGCAACUCGGCGAGGAGAGCAACCUGAAUGAGGCACCCAAAGUGUGGGAAGAAUAAAAAGUAAUUCAAGUUAGGUGUAUUGUUGUCCAGAUGAGUUCGUCAUGUGCUAGAAGGAUCGAACAGCUGGACCUGGAAGCCACGAGAGCUGCCCGAGGAAGAGGGCG